GGAUGGAUGGCCUGCCAUUGUGCGCUC
rnacentral:piRNA from 1 species